CCGAGGGACGCAAGUUCUUCGGGGUUGCGGACAGACAUCAAGACCAGAGGUAAUUAAGAGAACGGCGUGGGAAAGCCGGCCAUAGAAGGUGAGAGCCCUGUAUCUGAAAAUGAAGACUGGCAGUCUGGAUCCAGAGUACCGCGGGACACGUGAAACCCCGUGGGAAACCGGGUGGACCACCAUCCAAGCCUAAAUACUACCUGAUGACCGAUAGAGGAGCAGUACCGUGAGGGAAAGGUGAAAAGGACCCCGGGAGGGGAGUGAAAGAGAACCUGAAACCUUGUGCUUACAAGCAGUCAAAGCACGUUAACGUGUGAUGACGUACUUUUUGUAGAACGGUCCGGCGAGUUAUAGUAACGAGCAAGCUUAAGGUAUUGAGUACCGGAGGCGAAGCGAGAGCGAGUCUGAAUAGGGCGUAAAGUUCGUUGCCAUAGACCCGAAACCGGGUGACCUAUCCAUGAGCAGGCUGAAGUGAGAGUAAAAUCUCAUGGAGGGCCGAACCGACCCCCGUUGCAAUGGUGGCGGAUGACUUGUGGAUAGCGGAGAAAUUCCAAUCGAACUCGGAGAUAGCUGGUUCUCCCCGAAAUAGCUUUAGGGCUAGCGUUAUGUUAGAUUACCGGAGGUAAAGCACUGAAUGGUGGCGGGGCCGAUAAGGUUACCAAGACCUAUCAAACUCUGAAUGCCGGAUAAUUGAUGCAUAGCAGUCAGACAGCGUGAGAUAAGUUUCGUUGUCAAAAGGGAAACAGCCCAGACCCACAGCUAAGGUCCCAAAUUCAUGCUAAGUGGAAAACGAUGUGGAAUUGCGAAAACAACCAGGAUGUUGGCUUAGAAGCAGCCACUCAUUAAAAGAGUGCGUAAUAGCUCACUGGUCGAGUGACUCUGCGCGGAAAAUAUAACGGGGCUAAGCAUGAAACCGAAGCUUGGGCUUGUCGUAAGACAGGGGUAGGGGAGCGUCGAGUAUGGGGUGAAGUCAGAGCGGAAGCACUGGUGGACUGUACUGGAGUGAGAAUGCCGGAAUGAGUAGCGAGAAUUAUGUGGGAAUCAUAAUGGCCGAAAAUCUAAGGUUUCUUGGGGAAGGUUCGUCCGCCCAAGGUAAGUCGGGAGCUAAGCUCAGGCCGAGAGGCGUAGGCGAUGCACAUACGGUAGAAAUUCCGUAACCACCGAAACUUAAACAGAGGGACACUUCGAAAUAGCGGAACCCGGGCGUUGGUUGACCCGGGCGAAAGGGAGCGAAAUUAGAGUAGCGAAGUCCGCGAUGUUCGGAGGCGAGAAAAGCUCUGAGGUAUGCUAAGGUGCCCGUACCGCAAACCGACACAGGUAGAUGAGGAGAGAAUCCUAAGGCCAACGGGAGAAGGGUUGUUAAGGAACUCGGCAAAUUGACCCCGUAACUUCGGAAGAAGGGGAGCCCCCUACGGGGGGUCGCAGAGAAAUGGCCCAAGCAACUGUUUACCAAAAACACAGGUCUAUGCUAAAUCGAAAGAUGACGUAUAUGGGCUGACGCCUGCCCGGUGCCGGAAGGUUAAGAGGAGAUGUCAGGCAACGAAGCAUUGAAUUGAAGCCCCGGUAAACGGCGGCCGUAACUAUAACGGUCCUAAGGUAGCGAAAUUCCUUGUCAGGUAAGUUCUGACCCGCACGAAUGGCGUAAUGAUUUGGGCACUGUCUCAACAGCCCGCCCGGCGAAAUUGUAGUACUGGUGAAGAUGCCAGUUACCCGCAACUAGACGGAAAGACCCCAUGGAGCUUUACUGCAGCUUAAUACUGAAAUUCGGUAGUACAUGUACAGGAUAGGUGGGAGACUGAGAAAUACAGGCGUCAGCUUGUAUGGAGUCGCUGUUGGGAUACCACUCUUGUACUGCUGGGUUUCUAACCUGCGGCCGUGAAUCCGGUCGGGGGACACUGUUAGGCGGGCAGUUUGACUGGGGCGGUCGCCUCCAAAAGAGUAACGGAGGCGCUCAAAGGUUCGUUCAGCACGGACGGAAAUCGUGCAAUGAGUGUAAACGCAUAAACGAGCCUAACUGCGAGACCGACGGGUCGAGCAGUAACGAAAGUUGGAGUUAGUGAUCCGGUGGUAUGUGAGUGGAAAUGCCAUCGCUCAACGGAUAAAA
rnacentral:rRNA from 1 species